rnacentral:rRNA from 1 species
GGUGAACGCUGGCGGUAGGCCUAACACAUGCAAGUCGAACGGCAGCACAGUAAGAGCUUGCUCUUACGGGUGGCGAGUGGCGGACGGGUGAGGCAUACAUCGGCAUCUAUUUUUUCGUGGGGGAUAACGUAGGGCAACUUCUGCUACUACAGCAUACGUUCAACCGUUAGAAGCAGGGGAUAUUCGGACCUUGCGCUCUUGAAUGAGUCGAUGUCGGAUUAGCUAGCUGGCGGGGUAAAGGCCGACCAAGGCGACGAUCCGUAGCUGGUCUGAGAGGAUGAUCGGCCACACUGGAACGGGAACAGGGUCCAGACUCCUACGGGAGGCAGCAGAGGGGAAUAUUGGACAAGGGGCGCAAGCCGAAUGCAGCCAGACCGCGUGGGUGAAGAAGGCCUUCGGGUGGUAAAGCCCGUUUGUUGGGAAAGAAGAGCAGCAGGGUAAUACCCCGAUGUACUGACGGUACCCAAAGAAUAAGCACCGGCUAACUUCGUG